UACGGGAGGCAGCAGUGGGGAAUAUUGCACAAUGGGCGCAAGCCUGAUGCAGCCAUGCCGCGUGUAUGAAGAAGGCCUUCGGGUUGUAAAGUACUUUCAGUCGUGAGGAAGGUGUUAAGGUUAAUAACCUUAGCAAUUGACGUUAGCGACAGAAGAAGCACCGGCUAACUCCGUGCCAGCAGCCGCGGUAAUACGGAGGGUGCGAGCGUUAAUCGGAAUUACUGGGCGUAAAGGGCACGCAGGCGGUUAAUUAAGUUGGAUGUGAAAUCCCCGGGCUUAACCUGGGAAUGGCAUUCAAGACUGGUUAGCUAGAGUCUUGUAGAGGGGGUAGAAUUCCAUGUGUAGCGGUGAAUGCGUAGAGAUGUGGAGGAAUACCGGUGGCGAAGGCGGCCCCUGGACAAAGACUGACGCUCAUGUGCGAAAGCGUGGGGAGCAAACAGGGAUUAGAUACC
rnacentral:rRNA from 1 species